AGUGAACGCUGGCGGUAGGCCUAACACAUGCAAGUCGAACGGCAGCACAGUAAGAGCUUGCUCUUACGGGUGGCGAGUGGCGGACGGGUGAGGAAUACAUCGGAAUCUACUUUUUCGUGGGGGAUAACGUAGGGAAACUUACGCUAAUACCGCAUACGACCUACGGGUGAAAGCAGGGGAUCUUCGGACCUUGCGCGAUUGAAUGAGCCGAUGUCGGAUUAGCUAGUUGGCGGGGUAAAGGCCCACCAAGGCGACGAUCCGUAGCUGGUCUGAGAGGAUGAUCAGCCACACUGGAACUGAGAAACGGUCCAGACUCCUACGGGAGGCAGCAGGGGGGAAUAUUGGACAAUGGGCGCAAGCCUGAUCCAGCCAUACCGCGUGGGUGAAGAAGGCCUUCGGGUUGUAAAGCCCUUUUGUUGGGAAAGAAAAGCAGCAGGUUAAUACCCCGCUGUUCUGACGGUACCCAAAGAAUAAGCACCGGCUAACUUCGU
rnacentral:rRNA from 1 species